rnacentral:rRNA from 1 species
GACGAACGCUGGCGGCGUGCCUAACACAUGCAAGUCGAGCGAGUGGAUCUCCUUCGGGAGUGAAGCUAGCGGCGGACGGGUGAGUAACACGUGGGCAACCUGCCUCAUAGAGGGGAAUAGCCUUUCGAAAGGAAGAUUAAUACCGCAUAAGAUUGUAGCUUCGCAUGAAGUAGCAAUUAAAGGAGCAAUCCGCUAUGAGAUGGGCCCGCGGCGCAUUAGCUAGUUGGUGAGGUAACGGCUCACCAAGGCGACGAUGCGUAGCCGACCUGAGAGGGGGAUCGGCCACAGUGGGACUGAGACACGGCCCAGACUCCUACGGGAGGCAGCAGUGGGGAAUAUUGCACAAUGGGGGAAACCCUGAUGCAGCAACGCCGCGUGAGUGAUGACGGCCUUCGGGUUGUAAAGCUCUGUCUUCAGGGACGAUAAUGGCGGUACCUGAGGAGGAAGCCACGACUAACUACGUGCCAGCCGCCGCCGUAAGAC